UACGGAGGGGGCUAGCGUUGUUCGGAAUUACUGGGCGUAAAGGGCGCGUAGGCGGCCUGUUAAGUCGAACGUGAAAUCCCCGGGCUCAACCCGGGAACUGCGUCCGAUACUGGCAGGCUUGAAUCCGGGAGAGGGAUGCGGAAUUCCAGGUGUAGCGGUGAAAUGCGCAGAUAUCAGGAGGAACACCCGUAGCGAAGGCGGCACUCUGGGCCGAUACUGACACUGAGGAGCGAAAGCGUGGGGAGCGAACAGG
rnacentral:rRNA from 1 species